rnacentral:rRNA from 1 species
AGUGAACGCUGGCGGUAGGCCUAACACAUGCAAGUCGAACGGCAGCACAGUAAGAGCUUGCUCUUACGGGUGGCGAGUGGCGGACGGGUGAGGAAUACAUCGGAAUCUACUUUUUCGUGGGGGAUAACGUAGGGAAACUUACGCUAAUACCGCAUACGACCUACGGGUGAAAGCAGGGGAUCUUCGGACCUUGCGCGAUUGAAUGAGCCGAUGUCGGAUUAGCUAGUUGGCGGGGUAAAGGCCCACCAAGGCGACGAUCCGUAGCUGGUCUGAGAGGAUGAUCAGCCACACUGGAAGUGAGACACGGUCCAGACUCCUACGGGAGGCAGCAGUGGGGAAUAUUGGACAAUGGGCGCAAGCCUGAUCCAGCCAUACCGAGUGGGUGAAGAAGGCCUUCGGGUUGUAAAGCCCUUUUGUUGGGAAAGAAAAGCAGCAGGUUAAUACCACGCUGUUCUGACGGUACCCAAAGAAUAAGCACCGGCUAACUUCGUG